UCCCGCUUAUCACGGGCAGUUUCCUUAGAGUUCCCAGCAUUACCUGUUGGCAACUAAGGACGAGGGUUGCGCUCGUUGCGGGACUUAACCCAACAUCUCACGACACGAGCUGACGACAGCCAUGCAGCACCUGUGCUCCUCCCACCCGAAGUGAAGAAAUCCAUCUCUGGAUCUCAUAGAGGGCAUGUCAAGGCCUGGUAAGGUUCUUCGCGUUGCCUCGAAUUAAACCACAUGCUCCACCGCUUGUGCGGGUCCCCGUCAAUUUCUUUGAGUUUUAAUCUUGCGACCGUACUCCCCAGGCGGAAUGCUUAAUGCGUUAGCGACGUCACUGAGAGGGAACCCCCCAACAACUAGCAUUCAUCGUUUACGGCGUGGACUAC
rnacentral:misc_RNA from 1 species